rnacentral:rRNA from 1 species
GACGACAUCCUUUGGAAACAUACGGCUAGUGGGCAAUACUCGGCGGCCUCCGCAUACAAGGCGCAAUACCUAGGGAUGGUCCUCUCACCCAUGGAUAAGAUGGUUUGGAAGGCUUGGGCACCUUCAAAAAUCAAAUUCUUUGCUUGGUUGGUGCUCCAAGAUAGAAUUUGGACCGCCGAUAGGUUGGCAAAGUAUGGGUGGCCAAAUGAAGGAAAUAUGCCCUAG